UUUCUUCCUCUCUCCAGCAGUGCACCGCACGUUCGUGGGGAACCGGGUGCUAAAUCAUUUGUAGACAACCUGAUUCUGGGUCAGGGUUUCGUACGUAGCAGAGCAGCAAAAAGCUGCGAUCUAUUGAAAGUCAGCCCUCGAGCCAAGCUUUUGU